AGAGCGAACGCUGGCGGCAGGCUUAACACAUGCAAGUCGAACGCGUGUAGCAAUACACGAGUGGCGCACGGGUGAGUAACGCGUGGAUAUCUGCCUUUUGGUUCGGAAUAACCCCGGGAAACUGGGGCUAAUACCGGAUGGUUCCUACGGGAUAAAGAUUUAUCGCCAAAAGAUGAGUCCGCGUACGAUUAGCUAGUUGGUGAGGUAAUGGCUCACCAAGGCGACGAUCGUUAGCUGGUCUGAGAGGACGAUCAGCCACACUGGGACUGAGACACGGCCCAGACUCCUACGGGAGGCAGCAGUGGGGAAUAUUGGACAAUGGGGGCAACCCUGAUCCAGCCAUGCCGCGUGAGUGAUGAAGGCAUUCGGGUUGUAAAGCUCUUUUGGCGGGGACGAUGAUGACGGUACCCGCGAGAAUAACGCCCCGGCUAACGUUCGUGCCAGCAGCCGC
rnacentral:rRNA from 1 species